AGGCUAAAAGUUUAUUACUUGAAUUGACAUCUAAAAAAAACUCGUACUUUUUAUAUUUACAGGCGCUGAAGCGUUUGUACGGCGUCAAUGCCCUAAAAGUUAUCGAAAAAAUUAUAGAAAGUCCUCUUAUAGCUGUAGAACUCGUUAUUAAACGACUUUGUUUUGCUCAAAGCGAAUGGGAAAGGCAUCGAAUUUCAUAUGUUAAAGCAUGGCGAAAAGUCGAUAAUGAAAAUUAUUAUCGCUCUCGAGACCACCAGUUUAUAAUAGUCAAAGAAACACUUGAAACAAAGUUUUCUUCAGCACAACUACUUUUUGAGUGCGAUUGUCUCCUUUUUGAGCGUUUGACUGACAAGCAGUCAACUUGUUUGCAGCCUCACUUUCGCAUGUCUUUUAAUAACUCUGAAAUAUUUGCACAUUGCAUGAGGCUGCUACAGUUGGUAGUAAGCAAAACCCACAAAGGCGACGAUUCUUUUCUUUUAAAGGAUUAUACCACUUUAAAUAAUUAUUUAGAAAGUUGUAAUAAUAAUAAUAACCUUCACAAUAAAUUUGAUAAUUGU